rnacentral:rRNA from 1 species
CACCGUAUGACUAAGGUUUCCUGGGGAAGGCUCGUCCGCCCAGGGUUAGUCGGGACCUAAGCCGAGGCCGAUAGGCGUAGGCGAUGGACAACAGGUUGAUAUUCCUGUACCAGUUGUUUUUGUUUGAGCAAUGGAGGGACGCAGUAGGCUAAGGAAUGCAUGCGAUUGGAAGUGCAUGUCCAAGCAAUGAGUCUUGAGUAGAGUUAAAUGCUUUACUCUUUAAGGACAAGUUGUGACGGGGAGCGAAAUAAUAGU